GGCGCUAGAUGUGGGGACAUUCCACGGUUUCCGUGUCGUAGCUAACGCAUUAAGCGCCCCGCCUGGGGAGUACGGCCGCAAGGCUAAAACUCAAAGGAAUUGACGGGGGCCCGCACAAGCGGCGGAGCAUGCGGAUUAAUUCGAUGCAACGCGAAGAACCUUACCAAGGCUUGACAUAUACGAGAACGGGCCAGAAAUGGUCAACUCUUUGGACACUCGUAAACAGGUGGUGCAUGGUUGUCGUCAGCUCGUGUCGUGAGAUGUUGGGUUAAGUCCCGCAACGAGCGCAACCCUCGUUCUAUGUUGCCAGCACGUAAUGGUGGGAACUCAUGGGAUACUGCCGGGGUCAACUCGGAGGAAGGUGGGGACGACGUCAAAUCAUCAUGCCCCUUAUGUCUUGGGCUUCACGCAUGCUACAAUGGCCAGUACAAAGGGCUGCAAUACCGUAAGGUGGAGCGAAUCCCAAAAAGCUGGUCCCAGUUCGGAUUGAGGUCUGCAACUCGACCUCAUGAAGUCGGAGUCGCUAGUAAUCGCAGAUCAGCAACGCUGCGGUGAAUACGUUCCCGGGCCUUGUACACACCGCCCGUCAAGUCAUGAAAGUCGGUAACACCCGAAGCCAGUGGCCUAACCGCAAGGAUGGAGCUGUCUAAGGUGGGA
rnacentral:rRNA from 1 species